rnacentral:rRNA from 1 species
AUUGAACGCUGGCGGCAGGCCUAACACAUGCAAGUCGCGCGGAGCGGCGGACGGGUGAGUAAUGCCUAGGAAUCUGCCUGGUAGUGGGGGAUAACGUCCGGAAACGGGCGCUAAUACCGCAUACUAUCAGAUGAGCCCAGGUGGGAUUAGCUAGUAGGUGGGGUAACGGCUCACCCAGGCGACGAUCCCUAGCUGGUCUGAGAGGAUGAACAGCCACACGGGAACUGAGACACGGUCCAGACUCCUACGGUAGGCAGCAGUGGGGAAUAUUGCACAAUGGGCGCAAGCCUGAUGCAGCCAUGCCGCGUGUGUGAAGAAGGCCGUCGGGUUGUAAAGCACUUUAAGCGGGGAGGCGUUACCCACAGAAGAAGCACCGGCUAACUCCGUGCCAGCAGCCGCGGUAAUUC